GAUGAACGCUGGCGGCGUGCCUAAUACAUGCAAGUCGAGCGAACAGACGAGGAGCUUGCUCCUCUGACGUUAGCGGCGGACGGGUGAGUAACACGUGGAUAACCUACCUAUAAGACUGGGAUAACUUCGGGAAACCGGAGCUAAUACCGGAUAAUAUAUUGAACCGCAUGGUUCAAUAGUGAAAGACGGUUUUGCUGUCACUUAUAGAUGGAUCCGCGCCGCAUUAGCUAGUUGGUAAGGUAACGGCUUACCAAGGCAACGAUGCGUAGCCGACCUGAGAGGGUGAUCGGCCACACUGGAACUGAGACGCGGUCCAGGCUCCUACGGGAGGCAGCAGUAGGGAAUCUUCCGCAAUGGGCGAAAGCUUGACGGAGCAACGCCGCGUGAGUGAUGAAGGUCUUCGGAUCGUAAAACUCUGUUAUUAGGGAAGAACAAAUGUGUAAGUAACUAUGCAUGUCUUGACGGUACCUAAUCAGAAAGCCACGGCUAACUACGUG
rnacentral:rRNA from 1 species